AGUCGUGCGAGAAAGUAUCUUCGGAUAUGAGUAGAGCGGCGGACGGGUGAGUAACGCGUAGGAAUCUACCUAGUAGAAGGGGAUAGCCCGGGGAAACCCGGAUUAAUACCGUAUACCUCCUUCGGGAGAAAGAAGGCCUCUCUUUGAAGCUUUCGCUACUAGAUGAGCCUGCGUAAGAUUAGCUUGUUGGUGAGGUAAAGGCUCACCAAGGCUACGAUCUUUAGCUGGUCUGAGAGGACGAUCAGCCACAUUGGGACUGAGACACGGCCCAGACUCCUACGGGAGGCAGCAGUGGGGAAUAUUGGACAAUGGGCGCAAGCCUGAUCCAGCCAUACCGCGUGUGUGAAGAAGGCCUUCGGGUUGUAAAGCACUUUAAGCAGGGAGAAAAAGUUAUAAGUUAAUACCUUAUAACCCUGAUGUUACCUGCAGAAUAAGCACCGGCUAAUUCCGUGCCAGCAGCCGCGGUAAUACGGAAGGUGCAAGCGUUAAUCGGAAUUACUGGGCGUAAAGCGCGCGUAGGUGGUUUGUUAAGUUGGAUGUGAAAGCCCUGGGCUCAACCUAGGAACUGCAUCCAAAACUAACUCACUAGAGUACGAUAGAGGGAGGUAGAAUUCAUAGUGUAGCGGUGGAAUGCGUAGAUAUUAUGAAGAAUACCAGUGGCGAAGGCGGCCUCCUGGAUCUGUACUGACACUGAGGUGCGAAAGCGUGGGUAGCGAACAGGAUUAGAUACCCUGGUAGUCCACGCCGUAAACGAUGACAACUAGCUGUUGGGAGACUAUGUCUUUCAGUGGCGCAGCUAACGCUUUAAGUUGUCCGCCUGGGGAGUACGGCCGCAAGGCUAAAACUCAAAUGAAUUGACGGGGACCCGCACAAGCGGUGGAGCAUGUGGUUUAAUUCGAUGCAACGCGAAAACCUUACCUACUCUUGACAUACUUGGGA
rnacentral:rRNA from 1 species